CAAAUUAAAACAAGAAGCGCUAUAGUCGAGUGCCGAAACUAAACCUAACUUUCUAUCUUUAGUUCACUAGUUCCUUAGAUUUUCGCAUUUUUGGCUUUCCGCGUUUGCUCAGGCAUCUUAAAAUUCAGCUUUUUUAAUCCGAACAUUCGAUCUUUAAUAGUUCCUGAUUAUUCAUUACAUGCUUACAUUUAUAUAUAUACAGCAAGGUCUUCAGAUAUGGAUUUUAUUAAGGAUAUCUUUACAUUGUUUUUACAUUGGCAAAAACAAAAAAUAAAAUAGUCUGAAUAAUUUACAAAUUAUUCUAUGAAAUAUUGCAAAAUUGUCAAAAGACAAGGAUAUAAUAUUGACCAACAGAUCAAGCAACUAUGAACUUUCCCAAUCAUAGCUAAGCUUAAACCCAUUUGUGCGGUGUACUAUAAAUAAUAAGGAAAAAGAUGAAGAUAGCAAUAAAAUGUGUUAUUUACUAAGAGUAAGAAAGAUAGUCCAUUCGUCAUUCUUUUGUGGAAUGAGUGAAGAAGAUAUGCCUUGUCAAAAAUUUCGUAUACUUUCCACAAUCCCAGGAGGAUGUUCCUGUACGCGUUCUUCAAUGUCAUAUUUGGGCUACAAAUAUAUUAUUGAUGGUCAAACAUUUAAGACUACAAAAUUUAAAUAAUAUAUAAUAACAGACACUGUAGUCGAAUUUCUAGGUACACCUUCAUCAUUGAUGGUCAUAGAUUUGACUACAAUAUUUUAAUAUUAAAAACAACGGACACUUUAUUCAAGUGCCGAGAUACCUGUAUAUCUAUAAUCAUCGGAGCAACAACAACAAGAUUGUUAUAUUUAAAAUGCCUACGGCUAUUGUUUACUUUUAUAAAUAUUUGUAAACAAAAUAUACCCAAAAAGUUGACCGAGCUUUCGAUCCGCUCUAGCUUACUUCUCUCUUAUAUUCUAUACUUAUAUACUAUAAAUAAAAACGAAAAUUUGUAAACUAA